rnacentral:rRNA from 2 species
GGGUUGUGAGGUUAAGCGACUAAGCGUACACGGUGGAUGCCCUGGCAGUCAGAGGCGAUGAAGGGCGUGCUAAUCUGCGAUAAGCGCCGGUAAGGUGAUAUGAACCGUUAUAACCGGCGAUACCCGAAUGGGGAAACCCAGUGUGAUUCGUCACACUAUCAUUAACUGAAUCCAUAGGUUAAUGAGGCGAACCGGGGGAACUGAAACAUCUAAGUACCCCGAGGAAAAGAAAUCAACCGAGAUUCCCCCAGUAGCGGCGAGCGAACGGGGAGGAGCCCAGAGCCUGAAUCAGCAUGUGUGUUAGUGGAAGCGUCUGGAAAGGCGCGCGAUACAGGGUGACAGCCCCGUACACAAAAGCGCAUGUGCUGUGAGCUCGAUGAGUAGGGCGGGACACGUGGUAUCCUGUCUGAAUAUGGGGGGACCAUCCUCCAAGGCUAAAUACUCCUGACUGACCGAUAGUGAACCAGUACCGUGAGGGAAAGGCGAAAAGAACCCCGGCGAGGGGAGUGAAAAAGAACCUGAAACCGUGUACGUACAAGCAGUGGGAGCCCCACCACUAAGCCAGUGGUGAACUCCACAUACGCAUCCUUUGCUGAGGAUACGGUUAACGGAGCGAAAGCGACGUUCAACCUCAAAAGAAGCAGAGGGGGCUUAGUGGUGGGGUGACUGCGUACCUUUUGUAUAAUGGGUCAGCGACUUAUAUUCUGUAGCAAGGUUAACCGUAUAGGGGAGCCGGAGGGAAACCGAGUCUUAAU